rnacentral:RNase_P_RNA from 1 species
GCAGGCAGCCGGAACGUCGCUAGUCGAGUGUCCCCCGUAGGCAUGGCGACUAGAGGAAAGUCCGAACGCCAUCCAGAGAGUGAGCCGUCGGAUAACGGCGGGACGUCUCUCCCCAAGGAGAGGCGGACGGAAAGUGUCACAGAAACGAUACCGCCUCGCAGCGCAAGCUUCGAGGUAAGGGUGAAAUGGCGGGGUAAGAGCCCACCGCGCAGAGAGCAAUCGCUGCGGCAGGACAAACCCCUCACGGCGCAAGACCAAACAGGCGACGCCGGCACUCUGGAGCCGCUUGAGCUUCGCGAUGAAGACAAGCCGUCGCCGGGUAUAGGUCGCACGAGGGAAACGGUUAACGUUUCCCCGGCCUCAAGUCUUAUGGCUUGAGGACAGAGAAAUGACGUUCCUUCGGCUGUGUCGAGCGGCUGAAGACAGAAUUCGGCUUACAGGCUGCCUGCGCGC